AGUGAACGCUGGCGGUAUGCCUAACACAUGCAAGUCGAACGGCAGCACAGUAAGAGCUUGCUCUUACGGGUGUCGAGUGGCGGACGGGUGAGGAAUACAUCGGAAUCUACUUUUUCGUGGGGGAUAACGUAGGGAAACUUACGCUAAUACCGCAUACGACCUACGUGUGAAAGCAGGGGAUCUUCGGACCUUGCGCGAUUGUAUGAGCCGAUGUCGGAUUAGCUAGUUGGCGGGGUAAAGGCCCACCAAGGCGACGAUCCGUAGCUGGUCUGAGAGGAUGAUCAGCCACACUGGAACUGAGACACGGUCCAGACUCCUACGGGAGGAAGCAGUGGGGAAUAUUGGACAAUGGGCGCAAGCCUGAUCCAGCCAUACCGCGUGGGUGAAGAAGGCCUUCGGGUUGGAAAGCCCUUUUGUUGGGAAAGAAAAGCAGCAGGUUAAUACCCCGCUGUUCUGACGGUACCCAAAGAAUAAGCACCGGCUAACUUCGUG
rnacentral:rRNA from 1 species